UUACUUCCUACUCAUUUCUGCUGCUGGCCUGGAACAGACUGAAACAUCUUUUUGGAUCUGGAAUAUCAACAAAACAUUCCCUGCUAUCCUGUGCUUCGUAUGUGUCUGCAGCUGAUCAUCGUGACCUAAGGAGGCUGCAAGAGAGCUCAGCAGAUGUCAGGCCAGGCAGCCUAGCCCUGCAAUGUCCAGGUAAAAAAUGUGAAAUGCUGAGAACCUCUAUGCUGCCUACAGGGGAUAUAGAGCGGAGGGACAAUUGCACAAGAGUGUUCAUAGAUCCAGCACAGAGAAUGUGUGCAGGAGAUGAUUGUAUCUGAGUCCUACAGUCCACAGCUGCAAGAUAAAGGAGGAGCACUGAAUUGAUGUUCAUGAUGGAGAUGCACGUACCUCUGGAAGGAUGAACCUGGGACCACACCAGAAAUCCCACCAAGAGCUAAUGAUGGGAAUGGGAUUUGUGCUUCCACAGUACCAGGUCUGGAUGCUGAUGGAUCA